AUAAUGCACACAUAACUAUCAAAAAGAAACAUCAGGGAAUGAUACAGAGAUUAGCAUGGCCCCUGCACAAGGACGACACACACAUUUGUGCAAAGGUCCGUAUUUAA